GAUGAACGCUAGCUACAGGCUUAACACAUGCAAGUCGAGGGGAAACGGCAUUUAGUGCUUGCACCGAAUGGACGUCGACCGGCGCACGGGUGAGUAACGCGUAUCCAACCUACCCAUUACUGUGGGAUAACCUGCCGAAAGGUAGACUAAUACCGCAUAGUCUUCGAUGACGGCAUCAGAUUUGAAGUAAAGAUUUAUCGGUAAUGGAUGGGGAUGCGUCUGAUUAGCUUGUUGGCGGGGUAACGGCCCACCAAGGCUACGAUCAGUAGGGGUUCUGAGAGGAAGGUCCCCCACAUUGGAACUGAGACACGGUCCAAACUCCUACGGGAGGCAGCAGUGAGGAAUAUUGGUCAAUGGACGGAAGUCUGAACCAGCCAAGUAGCGUGCAGGAUGACGGCCCUAUGGGUUGUAAACUGCUUUUGUAUGGGGAUAAAGUUAGGGACGUGUCCCUAUUUGCAGGUACCAUACGAAUAAGGACCGGCUAAUUCCGUGCCAGCAGCCGCGGUAAUACGGAAGGUCCAGGCGUUAUCCGGAUUUAUUGGGUUUAAAGGGAGCGUAGGCUGGAGAUUAAGUGUGUUGUGAAAUGUAGACGCUCAACGUCUGAAUUGCAGCGCAUACUGGUUUCCUUGAGUACGCACAACGUUGGCGGAAUUCGUCGUGUAGCGGUGAAAUGCUUAGAUAUGAUGAAGAACUCCGAUUGCGAAGGCAGCUGACGGGAGCGCAACUGACGCUUAAGCUCGAAGGUGCGGGUAUCAAACAGG
rnacentral:rRNA from 1 species